CUGUCUCUGCUUUACCCGGGGCCAUCAACAAUACAGUGUCUUUAAAUCUGAGUACUUUCUUGGGUGUAUAAACACCUGAAAUGCCCCUCGUUAAGCUGUUUUCCACCUUGACCUCAUACCUUGGGAAAUAUGCCUGUUUGUGGGUUUGGUUUGAUUUGUGUUGGUUUUUUCCCUGUUUGUUUUUUGUUUUGUUUUUUCUUUUCUUUUUGCGUGUUUUUUCCCCCCCUUUGAAAAGCUGGUAUUUCUUCCUCCUUUCUGAGACCCGCUGGUUUAAAUUUCACCGGCUGAGCUGGAAAUGGUGUCGAAAUGCAGAGGAACUGAAGGCAGGGGAGGUCAAAACGGCGGUGAGGGGUGAAUAACUUCCUGGGCUUGGAUAUUUACUGGCACUGGUUGGAAAUUUGUACUAAUAGUUGCUUACAGGAUAUUUGAGUCUGAGCAGGAAGGUGCCAGGUCUGUUGUAGUGCUGUGUUUGCAGUAAUUUGGGGGUUUAUUGUGGUGGGAAUAAAUAAAUAUCCCAUGAUUGGGAUAUCAGUGAUUUCACUUCUAAGGGGAGAAGGUGGAGAGGAGUAUUAAGUAGCUCUUGUGUUGCAGAAUGUGUCAUUAGUUUAGAAUGAAACCUGAAAGGGGUCAAACCCUUGUUUCUGUUAGAAAAGGACAUAAAAUCAACACAGACACACAACAGUUGCUGUAAAUCCUGGUGGGAGCAGAUUUUACCAAUAGGGCAGGUGGAUGAAAAGCUCCUCACAAGUGUUUAUUAAGUUGACUUUCAACCCGUUUGAUCUUAACUUGCCUCUGCUUGAGCCUGAGGUCAGCAAAGCUUUUGCAGGGUUUUUCAUGAGGAACAAUGUGUGAUCUUAGAGGGUAAGUUAGUGUUCAGCCUGAUGAUCCCAGAUCAUGUAAUUUAUGGUGUAAUGUUUCCCGAGGCUUUCAUCAGCCUUUGGACUCUGUGGUGCUUUUUUCCCAUCCUUCAUUAGAAAGGGGACACUGGGAAUAAUGUGUAAAUGUUGCUGUUUAAAUGCAGGUUGAUUUUAUAACUGAGGCUUUGUUGGUGAAGCUGUCACUGCUGUGCUGUACAAGGCCAAAUUAAAGUGAUGCUUUUUGCUACAAACACAAAAAUUUUGGUUUCUUCUACUCCCUCCCCCACCAAAGAAAAAAGUAUUGAAAAUAUGAAAACUGGCAGGACUUUUGGGAGCCCACACAACUUCGUGUUGAGAAUGAGAAGUUUUGUACAGCUCUUCCCUACUGAGAUUUGCUGCUUGCUUUUCAUUUCAUAUCAGAUUUCUAAUCUACAGCAGCUUGUUAACUAGGCUGGGAAUUAGAAUAAUUUCUGCCAUCAGAGAGGAGGAAUUAAAUUGAGUCACUUUUGCAUGUUUGCCUUUUUAUUUUAAAGGUAUCAUCCCUGCCACUGACUCAGACUUACAGUGGUACAAGGACAAGGCUUGUGGGGUUUUUUGUUUUUAGAAAAGAGGUUUGGGAGGAUUUUUCUCUCCCUUAUCCCUUUAGAGUGGAACUUCAAGUUUUGCAUUAGUGAGACACUCUUUCCCUGAACAAAAGCUUAAUGCCUGACAAGGGAGGGUGUUGAGAGUAUUCUUUUGCAGUUUUAUAUUACAAUUAGAGACAAGAUCUCCCGUGUUCACAGGGUGAGUUUUGAGCAGGGUCUUGGAGAGUUUCUUUUCACUGGUUUGUUUUCCAAGCAGACAUUAGGGCCGAGAGAAGACAGAACUUUUUGUUCUUUGAACUAAAAUGUAGUAUUUUCUCCUUUGCUGUUUGGUUUAUUUGCUGUGAAGACCCCUCUGUCCAAGAGGAAGCUGCUCUGCAGACCUGCCUCCUCCUCCCUGGGCUGAAGGUCACCUCAAAGUUGUCAGGAGCCUGCAGCACAAUUCUGUGGAGUUGAGUUGAAGCACUUUGCCAACAUGAACUUCUCCAGGAGUCUGCCAGGAAAUCACUGGGAGUCCUGGCAGGUUUUUUUAAAGGGGAGGAUGAAAAAGACUCAAUCUAGUUUGUUUUCCUCAGGGAAAUCCAAUCUUAGUUAAUCUACUCCAUUGCCUUUUGUUUCAAUCUAAUUUUCUGGAAAUGUUCCCAAUUAGGUCCCAGGGGACAUGGGACCAAUGAUUUUUUCAUUAACUUUUUUUUUUUUUAUUUGAAAGCUGGAAUCUGCUACUGCAGAGAAUAAUGGGACUAGUUACUGUAAGCAAAUUAAACUCCUAUUUGCUGCA